rnacentral:rRNA from 1 species
GCUCCAAUAGCGUAUAUUAAAGUUGUUGCAGUUAAAAAGCUCGUAGUUGGAUUUCUGGCAGGGAGUCAAUGCCGCAAGUUGCGUGUGCAGAGAAUUCCUACCAUCCUUCUGUUAACCUUCUAGUUAUUUGUUUAACUGUUGGGAGCCAGAUAAUUUACCUUGAGAAAAUUAGAGUGUUCAAAGCAGGCUUAUGCCGUUGA